ACAUCUUCCUCCUGCUGCAGCACCUUCUUCAUCAUCAGGCCAGAACCCAGGCAGGAUGUUCCACCCUGUAGCUGUCCACAACAAGAACUUCUGCUUUCGAUGUCCCGGCAGACCACUGAGUCAUAAAAAAAAAAGUUUCAACAUGAAGGUCAAAGAUCCCGCCCACUGAACGUCACUGCGUUUGAGUUGCACAAAGAGUCCUUUUCUAUUUUUUGAAUCUGUCCAGAGCAGAUCUUUUUCCAGACAGUGCUGCUUUCUUCUCCUUCAUCCUGUUUCGAUCUUCCUCCAGUUUCAUUCUGUCCUCCACAGUUUUUCUGAUAACGUCCUGCAACAGCCAGCAAGCAUAAAGGAUUAUACACACUCUGGAGGUGGUUUGAAUGACAUGAACAACAUCUACAAAAAAAGGUGAUCACAAAAAUUAUCCUUUGAUAAUGAAUCAGAAACAUAAUAUUGUUUGAAGGGUCCGGUUAGAUUAAGAGGAAUAAACCUUUUAAUCAGACUAAAAUUCCCAUACUUCAGCUCCCAUAUCUAAGGUCGUUGACAAAGAAACAGAUGUGAGGCCUUUCUUUAACACAAUGUAACACAGUAAAAAAGGACUUGGGACACAUCUAGAUACAGCAGCUUUAAAAAUAUACCCACCUCUUAAAGUUUUUCUACAUUUGUUGAAUUACAAUCACAAAUUUUAAUGUCUUUCACUGUGAUCAACACAAAGUAGUGCAUAAUUGUGAAGUGGUAUAUAAAAAUCUGAAACAUGUGGCAUGCAUUUGUAUUCUCCCCCUUUACUCCUACACCCCACAAUUAAAAGUAGGUGCAACCAGCUGCAGUCAGAAGUUGACUUGCAGGUCAUUUAAAUCUAGCUAUUCUGGGAAAGUCUCAAUAAAAACUUUCCACACUG